UGAACAUUCCAGGCUCUGUGAACUAAGUGACUGAAGCUGAUUGACACAGGUCAAGGGGACUUCAAGGAAGAAAGCCAGCCUUAGACUGACAUCAGAGAACCAAACUCCGGUGUCUAAGCUCAAGUAAUACAAGUAAUUGGGAAGACACUGGCUCAGAGCCUGUCUCUGGUGACCACUGAAUUGUCCAGCACCUGAGGUCCCUGGAGCCCACGGACUGAGCCCAUCUGGGCUAAAAGAGGUCCCAUACAUCCUUCUCAAAGGCCUAUAUAAAUGCCAAGCAGAGUUAUAGCAGGAGGUUAGAAUCCUGAGAACUGUUUGGAAUAAGGAAUCCAAAUAUUGUCUUCCAGCUUCACCUUGUCACGACAGUCCUCGCCAGGGACAGCUGAGGAUGGAAACCAGCCCUGCACACUGCUGGCUCUGGAGGCCUGGUAGAUUAACAGGCACCGGACUUACAAUUGGUCUCUUAAGCCUUUCAACUCUUUAGAAGCAAAGGGGAAGGCAUGGAGGGUGCCAUGAAAUCAAAGACAUUGUUCGUAAGCUCCUGGAUCUUAUCAGUGUGAGGAAGUGUUCAAAAAAGUUCUGUCCCCCCUAGAGACAAAAAGACCUCUUCUCUGCCUCCCAGCUCCCAUGGCGCCUCUCUCGAUACGUGGCCUCUUCUGAUACUUACCUCAGCUUGGACACAGCUCUCUGAAGAUCAUCUACAUCUCCAUUUAUGCCGUGUGCACGCAGUACCAACAGAGGUCAGAGGAGGGUGUCGGAUCCCCUGGAACUGGAGUCACAGAUUCUUCCUUGCGUGGAUGAAACAGUCCCAACGAACACUUUAAAAAGACAAAUGUUCCCGACAGCACUGGUUGAAUUCAAAACUCGGCAGAUCCAUGUUCUUAUCCUUAGACAAGAGAGGGGCCAUAACAAGAUGGAAUGACGGAACAGACGUGAGAGAUGAUGGUACAGUGACUCGGGUAACCCCAGAAAAGGGACAGCUCUUCUACAGCUCAGUGGGGACAGGGACAAAAAGAAACAAUUUCAUUUCAGUCCACCCAGAGGGUCUGCACUUCUCGGAGCCAGAAGGUGGAGAAGAGUAGGGAUGGAGGAAGUUCGAAGUUUUAGGAGUCUGCUCUUGGGUCCCUAGGCAUGAGGACAAGCUUUUCCUGUACUCAAUGCUCAUCUCUCAGUUGUGCCCACAUUGGUACACAUUACUUGCUUUCAACUGCUGCUGCUGCUGUUUCCUAAUUCAAUAAAGAUAUGGCUGGCUCAGCAGAGAGCUGUCAUCCA